AGUGUUGUGUGAUCUUGCGCGAUAAAUGCUGACGUGAAAACGUUGCGUAUUGCUACAACACUUGGUUAGCUAUUUAGCUUUACUAAUCAAGACGCCGUCGUGCAGCCCACAAAAGUCUAGAUACGUCACAGGAGAGCAUACGCUAGGUCGCGUUGACUAUCCUUAUAUAUGACCUGCAAAUAUAAAC
rnacentral:other from 14 species